rnacentral:tRNA from 2 species
GGCUCUGUAGUGAAGUUCAUAUUGAGUUGCAAGCUCAUUGAUGUGCGUUGAGUAUGCACCGGAGUCU